rnacentral:rRNA from 1 species
UACGGGGGGGGCAAGCGUUGUUCGGAAUUACUGGGCGUAAAGGGUGCGUAGGCGGCUUUCUAAGUUGGAUGUGAAAACUAUGGGCUCAACCCAUAGCCUGCAUCCAAAACUGGAGAGCUUGGGUUCUGGAGGGGAAAGCGGAAUUCCUGGUGUAGCGGUGAAAUGCGUAGAUAUCAGGAGGAACACCGGUGGCGAAGGCGAGUCCCUGGACAAUUCCUGACACUGAGGCACGAAAGCUAGGGGAGCAAACAGG